GAACGGGUGAGUAACACGUGGGCAAUCUGCCCUGCACUCUGGGACAAGCCCUGGAAACGGGGUCUAAUACCGGAUACGAGCUUCCCGGGCAUCUGGGAGGUUGGAAAGCUCCGGCGGUGCAGGAUGAGCCCGCGGCCUAUCAGCUUGUUGGUGAGGUAACGGCUCACCAAGGCGACGACGGGUAGCCGGCCUGAGAGGGCGACCGGCCACACUGGGACUGAGACACGGCCCAGACUCCUACGGGAGGCAGCAGUGGGGAAUAUUGCACAAUGGGCGAAAGCCUGAUGCAGCGACGCCGCGUGAGGGAUGACGGCCUUCGGGUUGUAAACCUCUUUCAGCAGGGAAGAAGCGAGAGUGACGGUACCUGCAGAAGAAGCGCCGGCUAACUACGUGCCAGCAGCCGCGGUAAUACGUAGGGCGCAAGCGUUGUCCGGAAUUAUUGGGCGUAAAGAGCUCGUAGGCGGCUUGUCGCGUCGAUUGUGAAAGCCCGGGGCUUAACUCCGGGUCUGCAGUCGAUACGGGCAGGCUAGAGUGUGGUAGGGGAGAUCGGAAUUCCUGGUGUAGCGGUGAAAUGCGCAGAUAUCAGGAGGAACACCGGUGGCGAAGGCGGAUCUCUGGGCCAUUACUGACGCUGAGGAGCGAAA
rnacentral:rRNA from 1 species